rnacentral:ncRNA from 1 species
GGGGCUCUAGAAAGUACACUAUGAGAGGAACUGCAGGUUCACACCUUUGGUGUAUGUGCUUUGCUAAGGAGCCAAUGGGGUAAAACUAACAUCAAUGGGAUUAUGACUGAAUGCCUCCAGGUCAGAAUCCCCCCUAAGCAUGAGUGCUGAGGAGCCUUGGUGGGCCAGGGAUAGCCAGGCUUUUGUGCUCCCUUUCCUGGCUCCAGCGGGGGUGGGAGCCUGAGGAUCGGGGCCCAGUGUGGAGGACCAUUCAUGCCGGGGGCCAGAGAGUGGCUACAAAGGGGGACCACCUCUCACCUGAAACACAGGCAUGUUUGUGGGGCACCUGGUGCUAAAUCAUUCGUAGACAACUUGUUUCUGGGUCAGGUUUGGUGCAUAGCAGAGCAGCUCCCUCACUGCUAUCUAUUAAAACCAGCUGUUAACACAAGUUUU